UACGUAGGGAGCGAGCGUUGUCCGGAUUUAUUGGGCGUAAAGAGCUCGUAGGCGGUUUGGUAAGUCGGGUGUGAAAGCUCCGGGCUCAACCUGGGAAUGGCAAUGGAAACUGGCGGGCUAGAGUGUGGCAGAGGGGGGUGGAAUUCCGCGUGUAGCAGUGAAAUGCGUAGAGAUGCGGAGGAACACCGAUGGCGAAGGCAGCCCCCUGGGUCGACACUGACGCUCAGGCACGAAAGCGUGGGGAGCAAACAGG
rnacentral:rRNA from 1 species